rnacentral:lncRNA from 1 species
UCUGGGGUAUAUAUAUGUUAGAGGAAAUAUAUUUUAUUUUAAAUUUAUGGUUUAAGGUUUCUAGUAUAUGUGGUUUGAGGUUAAGUUUUGGGGUUUAGGAUUUGAAAUAUGAUAUAACGUUUGUAGAGGAAAUAUAUUUUAUUUUAAAUUUAUGGUUUAAAGUUUGUAGUAUAUAGGGUUUGAAGUAUUGUAUGUGGUUUGAGGAUAAGUUUUGAGGUUUAGGGUUUGAAGUAUGAUAUAAGGUUUGUAGAGGAAAUAUAUUCUAUUUAAAAUUUAUGGUUUAAGGUUUGUAGUGUAUGGGGUUUGAAAUGUUGUAUGUGGUUUGAGGUUAAGUUUUGGAGUUUAGGGUUUGGAGUAUGCUAUAAGGUUUGUAGCCAUUGCCUAUAAGAUAGACUUGGAAAGUUUUAAAUAUCGAUUCUAUGGUUUAUAAAAAUAAUUAUGAAUAAGUGUAAAGUUUAGUUUUGUGAUUUAAGGUUUGGAUGUUGGAAUAUUAGGUUUAGGAUUAAAGUUUAGUA